GGCGGAGAAGCAAAGGAGAGGGAAGCUGGAAGCACCUUUGGCCCGGGACAGAAAUCUGGAGAGCUUGGCUACCUCCAUCCUCCUCAGGCCGGAGCAGGCUUCCUGAGAGAGUCCAGGUCGUAGGAGUUUUACGACUUAGAAAAGCGGGCUGCAGAUUCCUUCCUGGGUGUUUGGUUCAAGCCUUGGCUCCAGCCUCACUCUCAGUCUUCCCGGGAGUUCGUGGGAUUUGGACCUUAGAUUAUUAGUAUUAUUUUGAGGGCCUCCUGUGUGUAAGCACUGGUUGUGCGCAGAUGGCUGUGCAGAGGGCCAUGAGGUAGAGGCUGGGGAAAUGAGGGCUUGGAGGUGCUUGAGGUAUGGUCUUUACCUACGUGAAAUGUUGGAGGUUGAGAUGAAAACUCUUGCUUUGAAUUCUUCAUGGAGGACUACAUCAUUUCAAUCCUGAAUCUGGCUCAAUUCUAUUAUUCACUUAUUACUGUAUUAAAAACGUUUAAUUGGCCAGGCACAGUGGUUCACGCCUGUAAUCCCAGCACUUUGGGAGGCCAAGGCAGGCGGAUCACUUGAGGUCAGGAGUUCGACACCAGCCUGGCCAACAUGGCAAAACCCCGCCUCUACUAAAAAUACAAAAAUUAGCCAGGCGUGGUGGCACGCACCUGUAAUCACAGCUACUUAGGAGGCUGAGGUGGCAGAAUUGUUUGAACCCAGGAGGUGGAGGUUGCAGUGAGCCGAGAUCACACCACUGCACUCAAGCCUUGGCAUCAGAGUGAGACUCUGUCUCAGUAAAAAAAAAAUAAAUAAAUAAAAAUGUUUAAUUAACCAUGAUAUUUGCUUUGGUAAAACCUUUGAGGUUUAAUGAGAAUUUUAAAAUUCAUUAUACUUUUCUUAUGGCAUAUAAAAGUUUUAAUUUUUUUUAUUGUCUCAACUAACAUCAUAAAUGUCUUAAUGUUAAAAUCCAUGGGAUAUUCUAUUUAAAAUUUUAGCUUUAUCACCUUUGUGCUAUCAGAGAAUGUGCUUUGAACUGGUAAAAUGAGUUAAAGUAUUGGAAAACACUUAUGUCAGCAGAGGCUCUUAAAAAUCAUUUUCAUCCUUCCUCUUCUAGUGAUGAUUUUUUUUUAACCCAUGUUUUCACCAGUCUACCAAUCCAAUGGCAUAAAUGCUCCUACAUAGGCAACUUAAGUGUUUCUUAAGUUGAUGCAAGGUAUUUUGCAUGAGGCUGAAUUCUUGUUGUCGGAGCAGAGGAUUUUUGUUCCAACUACUGAAUUGGCAAAAUGUUAAAUAUAAAAACACCUCAAAAAGUCAAA
rnacentral:lncRNA from 1 species